UAGCGAAGUACGGCGAAGACAUAAACACUUUAGACAAGUUCACGAACAUUAUCAAAUAAUUAUAAGACCAAAAAUUCAUAGAAGCAAUUCUUUGUCCGAUUUAACCAAAACGAGUGAUUAUUCUUUCGAUUUCUUUAAUAAUAAAAAUAGCUGUCUGUACCCGACGGACCCCCAUAUAGACUACGAUUGUUCGGGCGAUACGUUGGAGAGAUAUUCUAGAUGUUUGAUUGAGACACCGCACAUGUCUUGGAAUUUCAAAGGGAAGAAAAUGAAAAGAAAGAUCGACAUGAAUCCAGAAGUGUAUGCGUCACGAUUGGAUUAUACUUAUGGAGAACCAACUGAAACUGAUAUGUC